GAUGAACGCUGGCGGCGUGCCUAAUACAUGCAAGUCGAGCGAACAGACGAGGAGCUUGCUCCUCUGACGUUAGCGGCGCACGGGGGAGUAACACGUGGAUAACCCACCUAUAAGACUGGGAUAACUUCGGGAAACCGGAGCUAAUACCGGAUAAUAUAUUGAACCGCAUGGUUCAAUAGUGAAAGACGGUUUUGCUGUCACUUAUAGAUGGAUCCGCGCCGCAUUAGCUAGUUGGUAAGGUAACGGCUUACCAAGGCAACGAUGCGUAGCCGACCUGAGAGGGUGAUCGGCCACACUGGAACUGAGACACGGUCCAGACUCCUACGGGAGGCAGCAGUAGGGAAUCUUCCGCAAUGGGCGAAAGCUUGACGGAGCAACGCCGCGUGAGUGAUGAAGGUCUUCGGGUCGUAAAACUCUGUUAUUAGGGAAGAACAAAUGUGUAAGUAACUAUGCACGUAUUGACGGUACCUAAUCAGAAAGCCACGGCUAACUACGUG
rnacentral:rRNA from 1 species